UUGACCUCGGAUCAGGUAGGU
rnacentral:rRNA from 2 species